UACGUAGGGCGCAAGCGUUGUCCGGAAUUAUUGGGCGUAAAGAGCUCGUAGGCGGCUUGUCACGUCGAUUGUGAAAGCCCGAGGCUUAACCUCGGGUCUGCAGUCGAUACGGGCUAGCUAGAGUGUGGUAGGGGAGAUCGGAAUUCCUGGUGUAGCGGUGAAAUGGGCAGAUAUCAGGAGGAACACCGGUGGCGAAGGCGGAUCUCUGGGCCAUUACUGACGCUGAGGAGCGAAAGCGUGGGGAGCAAACAGG
rnacentral:rRNA from 1 species